rnacentral:rRNA from 1 species
AGCGAACGCUGGCGGCGUGCUUAACACAUGCAAGUCGAGUGCGCAGUUUCCUGUAGCAAUACAGGAAAUGGGCGCACGGCGCACGGGUGCGUAACACGUGGACAAUCUACCCUUUGAUGGGGAAUAACCCGCCGAAAGGCGGGCUAAUACCGCAUAACAUCCCAGUCGCUUCGGCGAUAGGGAUCAAAGCCCGCAAGGGCGUCAUUGGAGGAGUCCGCGGCCGAUUAGCUAGUUGGUGAGGUAAUGGCUCACCAAGGCUUGGAUCGGUAGCCGGUCUGAGAGGACGAUCGGCCACACUGGAACUGAGACACGGUCCAGACUCCUACGGGAGGCAGCAGUGGGGAAUCUUGCGCAAUGGGCGAAAGCCUGAUGCAGCGACGCCGCGUGGGGGAUGAAGCUUCUCGGAGUGUAAACCCCUUUCGACCCGGACGAAUGACCCGCAAGGGUUUGACGGUACGGGGAGAAGAAGCCCCGGCUAACUACGUGCCAGCAGCCGCGGUAAGAC